CGAGGACGAACGCUGGCGGCGUGCUUAACACAUGCAAGUCGAGCGGAAAGGCUCCUUCGGGGGUACUCGAGCGGCGAACGGGUGAGUAACACGUGAGUAAUCUGCCCUUGGCUUUGGGAUAACUACCGGAAACGGUGGCUAAUACCGGAUACGACCACUCCUUGCAUGAGGUGGUGGUGGAAAGUUUUUUCGGCCAGGGAUGUGCUCGCGGCCUAUCAGCUUGUUGGUGGGGUAAUGGCCUACCAAGGCUUCGACGGGUAGCCGGCCUGAGAGGGUGACCGGCCACACUGGGACUGAGACACGGCCCAGACUCCUACGGGAGGCAGCAGUGGGGAAUAUUGGACAAUGGGCGGAAGCCUGAUCCAGCAACGCCGCGUGAGGGAUGACGGCCUUCGGGUUGUAAACCUCUUUCAGUACCGACGAAGCGCCGAUGAUGGUGGUGACGGUAGGUACAGAAGAAGCACCGGCCAACUACGUG
rnacentral:rRNA from 1 species